AUUGAACGCUGGCGGCAUGCCUUACACAUGCAAGUCGAACGGCAGCACGGGUGCUUGCCCCUGGUGGCGAGUGGCGAACGGGUGAGUAAUACAUCGGAACAUGUCCUGUAGUGGGGGAUAGCCCGGCGAAAGCCGGAUUAAUACCGCAUACGAUCUACGGAUGAAAGCGGGGGACCUUCGGGCCUCGCGCUAUAGGGUUGGCCGAUGGCUGAUUAGCUAGUUGGUGGGGUAAAGGCCUACCAAGGCGACGAUCAGUAGCCGGUCUGAGAGGACGACCAGCCACACUGGGACUGAGACACGGCCCAGACUCCUACGGGAGGCAGCAGUGGGGAAUUUUGGACAAUGGGCGAAAGCCUGAUCCAGCAAUGCCGCGUGUGUGAAGAAGGCCUUCGGGUUGUAAAGCACUUUUGUCCGGAAAGAAAUCCUUGGCCCUAAUACGGUCGGGGGAUGACGGUACCGGAAGAAUAAGCACCGGCUAACUACGUG
rnacentral:rRNA from 1 species